AUUGAACGCUGGCGGCAGGCCUAACACAUGCAAGUCGAACGAGUGGCGGACGGGUGAGUAAUGUCUGGGAAACUGCCCGAUGGAUGGGGAUAACUACUGGAAACGGUAGCUAAUACCGCAUACCAUCGGAUGUGCCCAGAUGGGAUUAGCUAGUAGGUGGGGUAACGGCUCACCUAGGCGACGAUCCCUAUCUGGUCUAAGAGGAUGACCAGCCACACUGGAACUAAGACACGGUCCAGACUCCUACGGGAGGCAGCAGUGGGGAAUAUUGCGCAAAGGGCGCAAGCCUGAUGCAGCCAUGCCGCGUGUAUGAAGAAGGCUAUCGGGUUGUAAAGUACUUUCAGCGAGGAGGCGUUACUCGCAGAAGAAGCACCGGCUAACUCCGUGCCAGCCGCCGCGGUAAUAC
rnacentral:rRNA from 1 species